rnacentral:rRNA from 1 species
UACAGAGGUGGCAAGCGUUGUUCGGAAUUACUGGGCGUAAAGGGCGCGUAGGCGGCCUUCUAAGUCAGACGUGAAAUCCCCAGGCUUAACUUGGGAACUGCGUCUGAUACUGGGAGGCUUGAGUGCGGGAGAGGGAUGUGGAAUUCCAGGUGUAGCGGUGAAAUGCGUAGAUAUCUGGAGGAACACCGGUGGCGAAGGCGGCAUCCUGGACCGACACUGACGCUGAGGCGCGAAAGCAUGGGGAGCGAACAGG